UACGUAGGGCGCAAGCGUUGUCCGGAAUUAUUGGGAGUAAAGAGCUCGUAGGCGGCUUGUCACGUCGGUGGUGAAAGCCCGGGGCUUAACCCCGGGUCUGCAGUCGAUACGGGCAGGCUAGAGUGUGGUAGGGGAGAUCGGAAUUCCUGGUGUAGCGGUGAAAUGCGCAGAUAUCAGGAGGACCCCCGGUGGCGAAGGCGGAUCUCUGGGCCAUUACUGACGCUGAGGAGCGAAAGCGUGGGGAGCGAACAGG
rnacentral:rRNA from 1 species